AAGCAACGCGAAGAACCUUACCUGGGCUUGACAUGCGGGGUGAAACCGUAGAGAUACGGCGCUCCUCGGAGCCCGCACAGGUGGUGCAUGGCUGUCGUCAGCUCGUGCCGUGAGGUGUUGCCUUAAGUGGCGCAACGAGCGCAACCCCUGUCCUUAGUUGCCAGCGGGUAAUGCCGGGAACUCUAGGGAGACUGCCGGUGCCAAACUGGAGGAAGGUGGGGAUGACGUCAAGUCAUCAUGCCCCUUAUGUCCAGGGCUGCACACAUGCUACAAUGCGCGAUACAGAGGGUUGCAAUCCCGUAAGGGGGAGCGAAUCCCAAAAAGUCGCGCUCAGUUCGGAUCGGGGUCUGCAACUCGACCCCGUGAAGUCGGAGUCGCUAGUAAUCGCAGAUCAGCAAUGCUGCGGUGAAUACGUUCCCGGGCCUUGUACACACCGCCCGUCACACCACGAAAGUGGGCAACACCCGAAGCCGGUGGCCUAACCCUUGUGGAGGGAGCCGUCGAAGGUGGGGCUCGCGAUUGGGGUGAAGUCGUAACAAGGUAACCGUAAGGGC
rnacentral:rRNA from 1 species